rnacentral:ncRNA from 1 species
GACCAAGUUAUUAAGAGCUAUUGGUGGAUGCCUUGGCAUUGACAGGCGAUGAAGGAUGCGUUUACCUGCAGUAAUCUUCGGCGAGCUGGUAUAAAGCUAUGACCCGGAGGUCUCCGAAUGGGGCAACCCGGUAGAUUAAUCAUCUACCAUUAUACGUUGAAUACAUAGGCGUAUAAGGCGACACCUGCUGAACUGAAACAUCUUAGUAAGCAGAGGAAAAUAAAUCAAAGAGAUUCCCUAAGUAGCGGCGAGCGAAAGGGGAGAAGACCAAACCACAUUUUUAAUGUGGGGUUGUAGGGUCGAUAACAUGGGAUCUUAAGUUUUAGUUGAAUACUUCUGGAAAGUAGAACGAUACAGGGUGAUAGUCCCGUAGACGAAAAAACAAGAGACUCUAUUCGAUACCUGAGUAGGGCUAGACACGUGAAACCUAGUCUGAAUCUGGGGAGACCACUCUCCAAGUCUAAAUACUAGUCAAUGACCUAUAGUGAACCAGUACUGUGAAGGAAAGGUGAAAAGAACCCUUGUUAAGGGAGUGAAAUAGAACCUGAAACCAGUAGCUUAUAAGCGGUCGAAGACCUAUAACUUCUUAGGAAGUCAUGGUUGACGGCGUGCCUUUUGCAUGAUGAGCCAGGGAGUUAAGUUAAACGGCGAGGUUAAGGGAUUUACAUUCCGGAGCCGAAGCGAAAGCGAGUUUUAAAAGAGCGUUUAGUCGUUUGAUUUAGACACGAAACCAAGUGAGCUAUUUAUGACCAGGUUGAAGCAUGGGUAAGACCUUGUGGAGGACCGAACCAGUACAUGUUGAAAAAUGUUUGGAUGAGUUGUGAAUAGGGGUGAAAGGCCAAUCAAACUUGGAGAUAUCUUGUUCUCUCCGAAAUAACUUUAGGGUUAGCCUCGGAUAUUAAGCUUUUGGGGGUAGAGCACUGAAUUCUAGCGGGGGCCUACCGGCUUACCAACGGAAAUCAAACUCCGAAUACCAAAAGCGAGUCCGGGAGAUAGACAGCGGGGGCUAAGCUUCGUUGUCGAGAGGGGAACAGCCCAGACCGCCGAUUAAGGUCCCAAAUUUUAUGCUAAGUGAGUAAGGAAGUGAUGAUUCUAAGACAGUUGGAAUGUUGGCUUAGAGGCAGCAAUCAUUUAAAGAGUGCGUAACAGCUCACCAAUCGAGAAUCAUUGCGCCAAUAAUAAUCGGGGCUCAAGCAUAAAACCGAAAUCGCGGGUGUAUAUUUAUAUAUACGCGGUAGGAGAGCGUAGUAUUCAGCAGUGAAGGUAUACCGUAAGGAGUGCUGGAGCGGAUACUAGUGAAGAUCCAUGGCAUAAGUAACGAUAAAGGAAGUGAAAAUCUUCCUCGCCGUAAGCACAAGGUUUCCAGG